GGAGGGUAUAGCUCAGUGGUAGAGCACAUGCUUAGCAUGCAUGAGGUUCUGGGUUCAAUCCCCGGUACCUCCA
rnacentral:tRNA from 1 species